AAAAGUACUGGCAAAUGAGCAUUGGCUAGGAAAAUAUUCCUUUUUUACCUGCAAUAGAAAAGAAUGACCACUAAAGCACUAAUUGAAAACGAAAUUUUCAAAUCUUUCCCUCCAAUUGUUUUGACAUCAAUCACCUCUUCCCUCCAAUCCAUUUUUAGGUCUUCUCUGUAUAUCACGAAAUUGUUUCAGAAGUAGGCUAUGUAAAGGCUCUUAUCGUUCCUGCUGCCCAACUCAUCUCUUUCUCGCCAUCACCACCCACCAUCCUAGGUAAAUUCAUCGUGUCUCUCUCUCUUUCUCUCUCCUCCCUCUCUAUAUACCCAUUAUCACUAAUGAGGGGUAGCCAACUAUGGCGAUUGAAAUCUGAAUAUUCUUUGAACGAUAGUAUUGAAUCUGUCACCGUUUUUGCAUUCACGUGUUUGAUUUAAUGAUCUUUUUAGUUGCUUUUAUGGUUAUUUUACUUCCCAUACCAAUGGUGUGGAAAAUGUAUUUUGUAAUUAAGGUGUUCGAUGAAAUGCUUUUGCUGAAUUUCUGACUCGUCUUCCACGUUUUUUGUUGAUUUCAGAUGAUUCAUAAAUCUUUGAUUGUUUCAUAUAGUGUCCGAUAGUUGAACAUUUAUCCAAUAUCAAGUUCAAACAAGGUGAAGUUGAUAGGAGCUAGAAAAUUUUCUAAAAGUAUCGCUAAAGGAGUGACUAAAACUCGGAUAUUUCCUAUUUCUCCUAUUCUAAUUGCCCACCUGUCUCUUCUUGUUGCACUGCUUUUGUGUCUUUUGGGUUACUGUAUUUGAUCAUAAUUCCACAUUGUCAGUAGGUAAGAAUGCAAAUUAGCUAUAUUUCAUCAAUCUAAAACGCAUGUCCAUGCUUUUUUCUUGGUCUUCUUACAGUUGGCUUUUGGCUUAUGUCUUUUAUCUUACAGUUGGCUUACAUUUUCAUCAUUUCUAUACAAUAAUAUGACAAUUCUUGGGGCCAAAAUGAUAAGAAGAUGGGGUAUAGGAACAAUAAUGACGAGGAGACAUUAGAUGAUGUUGAUAAUGGUGUUUCAAUGGAUAUCUAUUUUGAUUGAGGUCAUCUAUUUUUAUUUUUAGUUAUCUUUUGUCUAUUUAAAAUUUCUUUGCCAUAUGGAGUGUAUAUGUGGAUUAGAAGAUUGUUAUGGUUCAGUUUAGUACUUAUUAUAUGAUGUAUAUGGUCCUCCGAUAUUAAGAAUUAUACCUUACUUAGCAAUAGAAGAAAGUUACUGCUGAGUGCUAAGGGUAUUUGCCUCUGGCAGCUAAAUCAUUAAGUGGGUAGUUCCAUUGGUUAUGCUAAGAAAUUAAUAACUGGAUAUUUUUGUAAGGCAGAGUCAUUUAUCUUGUUUAUUUGUUGCUUGUCUUUAUCUCAAUUUUAGGAUCAAGAAUCUCAUGAGCAAUAAAUAGCUAAAACAUCUUGGUUGACUGUGCAGAACAUGAUUGCAGUAUCCGAAUUGAGAAAUGUAAUAAAGCUUUUACCUGUAGCUCUAUACAGGCCUUAGUUAACUUUUGGCCUAAAUUUCGAAUCUUUUUAUGUCUUCUUUCACUGAAGAAAGGAGCCGCAUUUAAAGAAUUAUGGGAAAAGAGGGAAGCUCAAAUUCUGCCCUCUAAGGUUAUCCACUGUAAAGCAUUUCAUGGAAUAUCUCUUGUGCUUUUCAACCCUUAAGGAAAUUCUCAAAAUAAAUAGUGUCGUAUUUGGAAUAUAUAUCCAUAGAAUUAAUUGACCCAUUCAUAAUCUAUUGAGUCAUAUUGAGUGGCAAAUCUUUGAAGACAUUAUACAUUAGCCAUUUAGACUUAAAACUCUACUAUUCUUUUCCUUCUAUCGGUUCUAAGUUCCCUUUUGCUAGAAGUGGACUUUGCAAGGAAAUGGUAAAAAUGAAAAUUCUAAACCUAUUUUCCUUGAUCCAGUAUAGGUUUUAAUAUAUCCAAAGACAAGUGUGUUCUUUAUUGCUUUUGUUGCUACAUGCAUAAAACAAUUAAAAUUUCUUUUUGGAAUUGUUUCUUUAUGACUAUUUUGUCUAAGUAGAUAUAGGCAUCAUUUGUGGUUAUCUUGCUUCUAAAUUCCAUUGGUGAGUCAAGUUCUAGAUGUGGUGGAAUCUAAUUCUUAGAAAUUGUUGAGUUCUUCCUUAUUAGUCAUAAUUCAAUUCUGUCUGAGUUUAGUUUUCAAUUGUUCAUAUAAUUUGAAUGAGUGGCUCAUUGCAGAGGAGUAAGCAUUGUUUUGAGCAUCCUUAAAUUCACGGAACUUCCUUACUUGAUGCGUAACCUGAUUUAGGUGCUCAACUGCUGAAAGCUUCAUUGCUCUCCUAGACUCCUUUUGAAAAUAUGGUAUUUUAUAGCUGGGGAAAACUCAUGCGCAAAAUUAGACAAGAAGGCCAUAUCUCAAAACUCAAAUAGCAUGAAGAAGCUUUUGUUCAGAAAUUUGGUUGUGGAUGAUUUCAAUGUUAUCAAGAGCGAAAGAAAUUUAUCGGGGCCAUUUAUUGUCAAAUAUUACAUGUAUUUGAUAGCAAUUAUUAGAUACACAAUUACACUUGUAUUGGAUCCAUAGUUUACUUUGAAUUUUAUUUUAUGUUGUUGAUACAUUUGAUAUUAUAGAUUAUCUGUUAUUUUUUAUUGUGGAUUUAGUAAAAUGUGUUGAGCUUUUUGGAAUGAUUUCUUUUAU
rnacentral:lncRNA from 1 species